rnacentral:rRNA from 1 species
GACGAACGCUUUUUCGGCGUGCCUAAUACAUGCAAGUCGAGCGAGCGGAACCAACAGAUUUACUUCGGUAAUGACGUUGGGAAAGCGAGCGGCGGAUGGGUGAGUAACACGUGGGGAACCUGCCCCUAAGUCUGGGAUACCAUUUGGAAACAGGUGCUAAUACCGGAUAAUAAAGUAGAUCGCAUGAUCAGCUUUUGAAAGGCGGCGUAAGCUGUCGCUAAGGGAUGGCCCCGCGGUGCAUUAGCUAGUUGGUAAGGUAACGGCUUACCAAGGCGACGAUGCAUAGCCGAGUUGAGAGACUGAUCGGCCACAUUGGGACUGAGACACGGCCCAAACUCCUACGGGAGGCAGCAGUAGGGAAUCUUCCACAAUGGACGCAAGUCUGAUGGAGCAACGCCGCGUGAGUGAAGAAGGUUUUCGGAUCGUCAAGCUCUGUUGUUGGUGAAGAAGGAUAGAGGUAGUAACUGGCCUUUAUUUGACGGUAAUCAACCAGAAAGUCACGGCUAACUAC